rnacentral:rRNA from 1 species
AACUAACAAGGAUUCCCCUAGUAACUGCGAGUGAAGCGGGAAAAGCUCAAAUUUAAAAUCUGGCGGUCUUUGACUGUCCGAGUUGUAAUCUAGAGAAGCAUUAUCCGCGCUGGACCGUGUACAAGUCUCCUGGAAUGGAGCGUCAUAGAGGGUGAGAAUCCCGUCUUUGACACGGACUGCCAGGGCUUUGUGAUGUGCUCUCAAAGAGUCGAGUUGUUUGGGAAUGCAGCUCAAAAUGGGUGGUAAAUUCCAUCUAAAGCUAAAUAUUGGCGAGAGACCGAUAGCGAACAAGUACCGUGAGGGAAAGAUGAAAAGAACUUUGGAAAGAGAGUUAAACAGUACGUGAAAUUGCUGAAAGGGAAACGCUUGAAGUCAGUCGCGUUGGCCAGGGAUCAACCUUGCUAUUUUGCUUGGCUUACUUCCUGGUUAAUGGGUCAGCAUCAAUUUUGACUGGUGGAAAAAGUUCAAGGGAAUGUGGCAUCUUCGGAUGUGUUAUAGCCUUUGCUCGCAUACAUCAGUUGGGAUUGAGGAACUCAGCACGCCGCAAGGCCGGGUUUUUAACCACGUACGUGCUUAGGAUGCUGGCAUAAUGGCUUUAAUCGACCCGUCUUGAAACACGGACCAAGGAGUCUAACAUGCCUGCGAGUGUUUGGGUGGAAAACCCGAGCGCGUAAUGAAAGUGAAAGUUGAGAUCCCUGUCGUGGGGAGCAUCGACGCCCGGAUCUGACCUUUUGUGACGAUUCCGCGGUAGAGCAUGUAUGUUGGGACCCGAAAGAUGGUGAACUAUGCCUGAAUAGGGUGAAGCCAGAGGAAACUCUGGUGGAGGCUCGUAGCGAUUCUGACGUGCAAAUCGAUCGUCAAAUUUGGGUAUAGGGGCGAAAGACUAAUCGAACCAUCUAGUAGCUGGUC